GCCAUCGUGGCGGAAUUGGCAGACGCGCUGGACUCAAAAUCCAGUUCCCCUUAAAGGAGUGUCGGUUCGACUCCGACCGAUGGUA
rnacentral:tRNA from 1 species